AGAACGAACGCUGGCGGCAUGCCUAACACAUGCAAGUCGAACGAUCUCUUCGGAGAUAGUGGCGCACGGGUGCGUAACGCGUGGGAAUCUGCCCUUGGGUUCGGAAUAACAGUUGGAAACGACUGCUAAUACCGGAUGAUGACGUUAAGUCCAAAGAUUUAUCGCCCAGGGAUGAGCCCGCGUAGGAUUAGCUAGUUGGUGAGGUAAAGGCUCACCAAGGCGACGAUCCUUAGCUGGUCUGAGAGGAUGAUCAGCCACACUGGGACU
rnacentral:rRNA from 1 species